rnacentral:rRNA from 1 species
UGGGGAAUAUUGCACAAUGGGCGAAAGCCUGAUGCAGCGACGCCGCGUGCGGGAUGAAGGCCUUCGGGUUGUAAACCGCUUUUAAUUGGGAGCAAGCGAGAGUGAGUGUACCUUUUGAAUAAGCACCGGCUAACUACGUGCCAGCAGCCGCGGUAAUACGUAGGGUGCAAGCGUUAUCCGGAAUUAUUGGGCGUAAAGAGCUCGUAGGCGGUUUGUCACGCCUGGUGUGAAAGUCCAUCGCUUAACGGUGGAUCUGCGCCGGGUACGGGCAGGCUAGAGUGCAGUAGGGGAGAUUGGAAUUCCCGGUGUAACGGUGGAAUGUGUAGAUAUCGGGAAGAACACCAAUGGCGAAGGCAGAUCUCUGGGCUGUUACUGACGCUGAGGAGCGAAAGCAUGGGGAGCGAACAGGAUUAGAUACCCUGGUAGUCCAUGCCGUAAACGGUGGAUGCUGGAUGUGGGGCCCUUCCACGGGCUCCGUGUCGGAGCUAACGCGUUAAGCAUCCCGCCUGGGGAGUACGGCCGCAAGGCUAAAAC